rnacentral:tRNA from 1 species
ACAUGGAUGCCAGAGGCGUUAAUGGGUUGGUUUUAAGCAUCAAAUACGGGUGUUAUUCCCUCCGUGUA